rnacentral:rRNA from 1 species
UACGAAGGGUGCAUGCGUUACUCGGAAUUACUGGGCGUAAAGCGGGCGUAGGCGGUUUGUUAAGUCUGCUGUGAAAGCCCCGGGCUCAACCUGGGAACGGCAGUGGAUACUGGCAAGCUAGAGUGUGUCAGAGGAUGGUGGAAUUCCCGGUGUAGCGGUGAAAUGCGUAGAGACCGGGAGGAACAUCAGUGGCGAAGGCGGCCAUCUGGGACAACACUGACGCUGAGGCACGAAAGCGUGGGGAGCCAACAGG